CUUGCUCUCGGGUGACGAGCGGCGGACGGGUGAGUAAUGUCUGGGAAACUGCCUGAUGGAGGGGGAUAACUACUGGAAACGGUAGCUAAUACCGCAUAACGUCGCAAGACCAAAGUGGGGGACCUUCGGGCCUCAUGCCAUCAGAUGUGCCCAGAUGGGAUUAGCUAGUAGGUGGGGUAACGGCUCACCUAGGCGACGAUCCCUAGCUGGUCUGAGAGGAUGACCAGCCACACUGGAACUGAGACACGGUCCAGACUCCUACGGGAGGCAGCAGUGGGGAAUAUUGCACAAUGGGCGCAAGCCUGAUGCAGCCAUGCCGCGUGUGUGAAGAAGGCCUUCGGGUUGUAAAGCACUUUCAGCGGGGAGGAAGGCGAUGAGGUUAAUAACCUUGUCGAUUGACGUUACCCGCAGAAGAAGCACCGGCUAACUCCGUGCCAGCAGCCGCGGUAAUACGGAGGGUGCAAGCGUUAAUCGGAAUUACUGGGCGUAAAGCGCACGCAGGCGGUCUGUCAAGUCGGAUGUGAAAUCCCCGGGCUCAACCUGGGAACUGCAUUCGAAACUGGCAGGCUAGAGUCUUGUAGAGGGGGGUAGAAUUCCA
rnacentral:rRNA from 1 species